AGUCGACGGUGAAGCCAAGCUUGCUUGGUGGAUCAGUGGCGAACGGGUGAGAAACACGUGAGCAACCUGCCCUGAACUCUGGGAUAAGCGCUGGAAACGGUGUCUAAUACUGGAUAUGAGCUGCGGAGGCAUCUUCGUGGUUGGAAAGAUUUUUCGGUUUGGGAUGGGCUCGCGGCCUAUCAGCUUGUUGGUGAGGUAAUGGCUCACCAAGGCGUCGACGGGUAGCCGGCCUGAGAGGGUGACCGGCCACACUGGUCCUCAGACACGGCCCUUUCUUCUCUGGGAUGGUCAGGCCCAGUGCGCGAAUUAUUUGCGCAAUUGUCGCAAUGCUGGAUGCAGGCAACGUCCUGAGUGAAGGGAUGAUCGGCCUUCUGGUUUGUAAUCCUCUCUUAGUCAGGGAAGAAGCGUGAGUGACCGGUACCUUGCAGAAACAAGUCGCCGGCUAACUACCGUGCCAGCAGCCGCGGUAAUACGUAGGGCGCAAGCGUUAUCCCGGAAUUAAUUGGGCGUAAAGAGCUCGUAGGCGGUUUGUCGCGUCUGCUGUGAAAGACCCGAGGCUCAACCUCGGGCCUGCAGUGGGUACGGGCAGACUAGAGUGCGGUAGGGGAGAUUGGAAUUCCUGGUGUAGCGGUGGAAUGCGCAGAUAUCAGGAGGAACACCGAUGGCGAAGGCAGAUCUCUGGGCCGUAACUGACGCUGAGGAGCGAAAGGGUGGGGAGCAAACAGGCUUAGAUACCCUGGUAGUCCACCCCGUAAACGUUGGGAACUAGUUGUGGGGUCCAUUCCACGGAUUCCGUGACGCAGCUAACGCAUUAAGUUCCCCGCCUGGGGAGUACGGCCGCAAGGCUAAAACUCAAAGGAAUUGACGGGGACCCGCACAAGCGGCGGAGCAUGCGGAUUAAUUCGAUGCAACGCGAAGAACCUUACCAAGGCUUGACAUACACGAGAACGCUGCAGAAAUGUAGAACUCUUUGGACACUCGUGAACAGGUGGUGCAUGGUUGUCGUCAGCUCGUGUCGUGAGAUGUUGGGUUAAGUCCCGCAACGAGCGCAACCCUCGUUCUAUGUUGCCAGCACGUAAUGGUGGGAACUCAUGGGAUACUGCCGGGGUCAACUCGGAGGAAGGUGGGGAUGACGUCAAAUCAUCAUGCCCCUUAUGUCUUGGGCUUCACGCAUGCUACAAUGGCCGGUACAAAGGGCUGCAAUACCGCGAGGUGGAGCGAAUCCCAAAAAGCCGGUCCCAGUUCGGAUUGAGGUCUGCAACUCGACCUCAUGAAGUCGGAGUCGCUAGUAAUCGCAGAUCAGCAACGCUGCGGUGAAUACGUUCCCGGGUCUUGUACACACCGCCCGUCAAGUCAUGAAAGUCUGUAACACCUGAAGCCGGUGGCCCAACC
rnacentral:rRNA from 1 species